GGCCGUUGGGAGGUGGCCACCUCCCCGGCUGGAGAAAGAUGUAGGUGACCGUGGGAGAGCACCAUCUCCACGGCACUUGGUGUUCAGAUAUGGCAAAGUAUGAAAGAACUUAGACUGCGCAGUCGAACAAAGAUUUUAGUUGAGCAGUGACGGUGGGGAAUGCUGAGCAGAGUUUAUAAUUUUCUUUAUAUUUUAAGUAGAGACUCUCAGAGGUGCAUGUCUCCAUACAUGUGACCGUGUUCAUUCCGCUGCGUAUUGUUCUUCUAUAAUCUGAUAAAUAUUUAUUGAAGAAUAAAAUUUCCAUUCAA